CAAAUUAGAGUCCAAGGGACGUUAUUAUUUACAUUAAUAAUUUAGUUGUGCAAUUUAACUUAAUUUGA
rnacentral:tRNA from 1 species